UGUCUGGGGAGUUUUAUCACUGAGUCGGGCUGUCCGGGGGACUGGGGAAUUGUGUUCAAAGAGCCCCCAUGACGUUGAAUAGGUGUCAAUGUCAAUAGGCCAGGACAUGAGAGGACCAGAGAAGAAAAUGGUCCCACCAGCAUUGCACAGGGGCCUCUCUCAAUCCCUCUGUGUAGGCAAACUUUAUCUCUCAUCAUGAAGAACUUUAUUGUACGGUAUCACAUUCCUGUCAAGGUGCGACUCAUAGGGAUUAAUGGGGCUUCAAUGGCACUCAAGUAAACCAAGAACAUGAUGACUUUCCUGUUAGGUAAACAAAGCCUCCUCGCCUGGUGGCCUAAUACUCUGAAAAAGUACCAAAUCAGCCGGCAAGGAUUCACUGUGCGUGGGGAUUAAAGCUCAACCUGCAAGGCCGUGACACCCCUGUAUGCAAACACAGUCGGCUACGUUAACCCAGUCUGAUAUCACAAUGCAUAAUCUGC